GAUGAACGCUGGCGGCGUGCCUAAUACAUGCAAGUCGAGCGAACGGACGAGAAGCUUGCUUCUCUGAUGUUAGCGGCGGACGGGUGAGUAACACGUGGAUAACCUACCUAUAAGACUGGGAUAACUUCGGGAAACCGUAGCUAAUACCGGAUAAUAUUUUGAACCGCAUGGUUCAAAAGUGAAAGACGGUCUUGCUGUCACUUAUAGAUGGAUCCGCGCUGCAUUAGCUAGUUGGUAAGGUAACGGCUUACCAAGGCAACGAUGCAUAGCCGACCUGAGAGGGUGAUCGGCCACACUGGGACUGAGACACGGUCCAGACUCCUACGGGAGGCAGCAGUAGGGAAUCUUCCGCAAUGGGCGAAAGCCUGACGGAGCAACGCCGCGUGAGUGAUGAAGGUCUUCGGAUCGUAAAACUCUGUUAUUAGGGAAGAACAUAUGUGUAAGUAACUGUGCACAUCUUGACGGUACCUAAUCAGAAAGCCAUGGCUAACUACGUG
rnacentral:rRNA from 1 species